UACGUAGGGUGCAAGCGUUGUCCGGAAUUAUUGGGCGUAAAGAGCUCGUAGGUGGCCUGUCGCGUCGGCUGUGAAAACUCAGGGCUUAACUCUGAGCUUGCAGUGGGUACGGGCAGACUAGAGUGUGGUAGGGGAGACUGGAAUUCCUGGUGUAGCGGUGAAAUGCGCAGAUAUCAGGAGGAACACCGAUGGCGAAGGCAGGUCUCUGGGCCUUACCCUGACGCUGAGGAGCGAAAGCGUGGGUAGCGAACAGG
rnacentral:rRNA from 1 species